AUAAGAAAUAAUUCUCAAGACAACUCCUUGAUAAUCUUUAAUUUUACCUCUUAAAUCCCACUCAAACUCACAGGACACAGUAACACCAACAUAGAGAGUGCAAAUCAUUACCUUACUUCACAGGUACAACCUAAUAGAUUAUGACGAUGGCCUGUACCUAUCAUACAUAAUCAAACUCACUGUAUUAUAAGGCCUUAUCAGACAAGACAACCUUAUUUAAAAUGUUAUUAGGGCAUCAAUUAAUAUACC
rnacentral:lncRNA from 1 species